UUACAGCCAUAUCAAGUGGAAACACUGGUUUUCAUAUGAUUACUGAAGCUAAGCAAUAUUGAGCCUGGUCAGUACCUAGAUGGUUGACCAUUUGGAAAUUCCAGGUGUUGUAAG